rnacentral:rRNA from 1 species
GGUCCCGCCUGCCCUGUGACUAUAUGUUUAACGGCCGCGGUAUUUUGACCGUGCAAAGGUAGCGCAAUCACUUGUCUUUUAAAUAAAGACCUGUAUGAAUGGCAUGACGAGGGCUUAACUGUCUCCUUCUCCCGGUCAAUGAAAUUGAUCUCCCCGUGCAGAAGCGGGGAUAUUAUUAUAAGACGAGAAGACCCUGUGGAGCUUUAAAUGAUGAGAGAUUUUAUGCAACAAACCUAAAAAGGUAUAAGCGAAUUUAUACUCCCUCUAAUAUUUUUGGUUGGGGCGACCGCGGAGUAAAAAGAAACCUCCGUGAGGAAUGAGGUAAUUAACCUUAAAUCCCAGAACGACAAUUCAAAGAAACAAAAUUUUUGACCUAAAGAUCCGGCAAAGCCGAUCAACGAACCUAGUUACCCCAGGGAUAACAGCGCAAUCCCCUUCAAGAGUCCCUAUCGACAAGGGGGUUUACGACCUCGAUGUUGGAUCAGGAUAUCCUAAUGGUGUAGCCGCUAUUAAGGGUUCGUUUGUUCAACGAUUAAAAUCCUACGU